GAGGGAAAAGCCCAGCACCGAACCUCGCGCCCCCGGGUGUCGCGGAAUGUGGUGUUUAGGAGGACCGUGCGCGUCUGUCCGGUAUCGUCCAAGUCUCCAUGAAUGGGGCCAGCAACCCAGAGAGGGUGUCAGGCCCGUAGGACUGAGCCGCGACGGCGUAUUGGGUCUCUCCUUAGAGUCGGGUUGCUUGAGAGUGCAGCCCUAAGUGGGAGGUAAACUCCUUCUAAGGCUAAAUACGGCCACGAGACCGAUAGCGAACAAGUACCGCGAGGGAAAGUUGAAAAGAACUUUGAAGAGAGAGUUCAAUAGUGCGUGAAACCGUUCAGGGGGUUAAACGGGUGGGCCCUCGAAGGUCGAACGCUCCCUACUCGCGUUUCCGCGCGUCGGUCCGCGCCGUUUCUGAUCUCGCUACGGGACGGAGCGGUGCGGUAACUUGGGCGUGCGGGGGCGUUUAGUUAGGGGGCCAGUAGGACUCCGCAACCGUCUGGAGAGUCGUCAGAAGGGCUCUGGUAGAAAGCCUCCUCGUUGGGGUGGACUCCGGGGUUCCGGGCGAUCUCUCCGGCCGUGAACCAGUAUUCCACUCGGUCGGCGUCCGUGACGAGCUCUUCUCCCUUCGCGGGGGGGGAGGGUUGUCGGUUGCGGGCGUGCGCCGGGGGACGCUAGCGGAGAGUAGAGUCGGGUCCCACCCGACCCGUCUUGAAACACGGACCAAGGAGUCUAACAUGUGCGCGAGUCGUCGGGAUUUUAACUAAACCCGAAGGCGCAAUGAAAGUGAAGGCCGACCUCGUCGCCGGUCUAGGGGAGAUCCCGUUCUGCUUCGGUAGCUCGGGCGCAUCCCCGGGGCGUCGAAGCCGCGUUGCCGGCUAGACGCACCAAGAGCGUACACGUUGGGACCCGAAAGAUGGUGACCUAUGCCUGGCCAGGACGAAGCCAGGGGAAACCCUGGUGGAGGUCCGCAGCGAUUCUGACGUGCAAAUCGAUCGUCGGAGUUGGGUAUAGGGGCGAAAGACUAAUCGAACCAUCUAGUAGCUGGUUCCCCCCGAAGUUUCCCUCAGGAUAGCUGGUGCUCGCAGAAAG
rnacentral:rRNA from 1 species